UGCGUAGGUGGUCUCGUAUGUCGGAUGUGAAAUCCCACUGCUCAACGGUGGAACAGCAUCGGAAACUGCGAGACUUGAGUGCAGGAGGGGAGAGCGGAAUACUUGGUGUAGCGGUGAAAUGCGUUGAUAUCAAGUAGAACACCGGUGGCGUAGGCGGCUCUCUGGAAUGCAACUGACACUGAGGCACGAAAGCUAGGGGAGCAAACAG
rnacentral:rRNA from 1 species